rnacentral:rRNA from 1 species
UACGUAGGUGGCAAGCGUUUGUCCGGAAUUAUUGGGCGUAAAGAGCUCGUAGGCGGUUUGUCGCGUCGGCCGUGAAAACUUGGGGCUUAACCCCAAGCCUGCGGUCGAUACGGGCAGACUUGAGUUCGGCAGGGGAGACUGGAAUUCCUGGUGUAGCGGUGAAAUGCGCAGAUAUCAGGAGGAACACCAGUGGCGAAGGCGGAACUCUGGGCCGGAACUGACGCUGAGGAGCGAAAGCGUGGGGAGCGAACAGG